CCCGCGUCCGCCUGCCUGGGCGGAGCCAGUGCAGCCUGGAGGGCUUCUGGGGCAACUUUUGGGAUGUGAUAUUCUCUCUUAAUGCUGGGCAGUGUCAGUGAACCAUUGCUCCCAGUCAGCCACAUGAUGGUGAAGGCAACUGACAGACUUACAGUUGUCAUACUGGGAUAUUUGAAGCUGCAUCCCCCUUGCAG